UACAGAGGGUGCGAGCGUUGUCCGGAAUCACUGGGCGUAAAGGGCGCGUAGGUGGCGCGACAAGUCAGUGGUGAAAGUUCGACGCUCAACGUCGAAUCGGCCACUGAUACUGUUGGGCUUGAGCACUGUAGAGGCUAAUGGAAUUCCGGGUGUAGCGGUGGAAUGCGUAGAGAUCCGGAAGAACACCGGUGGCGAAGGCGGUUAGCUGGGCAGUUGCUGACACUGAGGCGCGACAGCGUGGG
rnacentral:rRNA from 1 species